CAGAAUGCAACCUUGAACUGUUUCCAAGUUCAUAUGGCAAAGCCAAAGUUGACACCAUCGACAGUGACUAUGGGCAAGGAUCUCUGUCCCUUUUUCACGCUAAUAUUAGACCACUGGAUGAAAUCAUAGGUCAAGCAAGAAGUGCAU